GAGCUGGACAGAGGGACAAGAGGCAGAACCGGAUGGAUCUGGUCAGCCCAGAACAGCUCUCGCCACACUCCAACCCCACUCGCCUGCCGAGCACGCAGAGCUCUCUGUGCACUGCUGUGCCCAAAGUCCACUUGUGGGCCUGCUWGCCUACAGCUCCAGGGUGCCUGCGUUUGCCAGAGCGAGGGUGUGCGCACAGGUCCAGACUGGGGAGGAACCUUGUGUUCAGUGACGCUCCUAGAUUCCUCUUAUGCUCGGAUGCUGGCCUCACAGGUGAUGACCAAAAUGAACAACUGGAUCACUAGGUUGAGCUGUGUCUCUUCAAGAUGUCCCCCUUCGGUGGACUACCCUGCCAAACAAACCAAGAAGACUGAUGAGGCCGUGAGGGUAUCAGAUCUUUGGACCGCUUCUCCAAGGCUUUCCAGGUGAUUGAUGUAACAGCUUCUCUUCGCAUUACUCAAAGCCACGUUCAUCUAUUACCUAAGACUAAACUGUUUCUAUUUUAAGAGGGRAUUGCUGUUUGUUGAAACUUUACACAUAGUCCAUAACCCGCUACGCAUCAUCUCUAGUCCCUUCUGCUUUCACAACACUUUUGGUAAUUCAAGGUGGGAAUUAAGAGCACCCGCUGUCCUAUGGGCUGGAGUGAGUCAUUUCUCCUGCUCUGAGGAGGUGCCUAAAAGCCAUGCUGUUUUCUGUAGUAGCAUCAUUGGGGCUUCCUGUAGCCCACCAGCAUUCUCUUAGGCUCUUCCUGAGCCCUGUAUUUUUUUAAGGUUAUUCCUUAGCCUGCAAUUUUAUGUUAAUGUUCUCCUUAAGCACUGUGCACAGCACAAUUAUCCCAGACUAGCCGCACUAACAGAGUCCUCUUGCACGCACAGAGGCUUCUAAGAGGUGGCUCAGAAGAAAAGACAGAAAAGUCUGUUUGUCAUCUGUGUACCCACUCGUCAACAUUCUUCACCGAGAAGUGCUGUAAAUUCCCUUUUCUCUAAAGUGGAACUGAGUCAAUGGGGAGACACAAAUCACCCCCCAUAUUUAUUAGAACACCUCACUGCUGUGGGCACUGGGUCUGGGAGUGGUUUUAGGAUCGCUUGGGGCUUUGGGACAUCAGGCUGCUGUGCCACUGCUGCAGACAUCCAGACCCCUGGGCAGCAUACGUGCAGCUGCCCUCUGCCUGGGGAGACGUCAGAGGCAACGGAGGUCCUGUCACCACAUACUGCACUAAGGAAGCCCAUGGCUUUGGGGCAGCUGGACAGGAGGGCGCAGGGCUCAGCAGGGUUUUCAGUCAGUCAGUGCCUGGGUUGGCUGGUG
rnacentral:lncRNA from 1 species